rnacentral:lncRNA from 1 species
GAUCUGUAAAUUAUAAUGCAUGUGAUGCGAAUGGUGAUGAUCAUGGAUGACCCUUUGUGAAUGUGCUGAUAUAAUCUGCGAUGUAAUCUGUGAUGUUAUGUGAUGACAUGUAAAUCAAUUUUUCAGAUGCCUGCGAGCACCUCAAAUUCAUGUAUUAGAGACCUGCGUGUCUCAUGAAAAAGGGUUGUAAUUAUUCUUUUAUUUUUGAAUUUUAUCUGGGAUGUAAUCUGUGAUGUAUGUUGCACGUCGAUGGUUGAUCGAUGUGUGCCUCCUACAAGCAAGCCGUGCGCGGGUUGAGAUCAUAGGUUGAUUGAAGAUGGAUCAACGAGUUGAUUACAAUUGAAUCUAGGGGAUCAAGAUCGAGUCAAGAGUUGAAGACGAUCAAACCAAUUGACGUGCAUGUGCUUGUACUAUAACCCAUCCUGGAUCCAUGAUCAUCACCAGUUACAUUUACUAUUUUUUAUAUAUAUGCCUGGAUGUUUAAUGUUUAUGCCUAUGCAUAGCGGGUAGAUGGAUGUGUGCGUGAGAUGCGAGUUGCCAAUCGAAAUAGACCUAAACUAAAACCUCCUCAAUCAAGUCGAGAGUGAACCAACAUGAGCGGGUCAUAUUAGAUUAAUUGAUCUAAUUGGUGUCUAGGAAAGCAUGAAAGGUAGUUACUUAAUUAGGACCUUACUCUCUGAGUAAGGGGAGCCU